AUGGUCCUCCUGCGCUACGGCGUCACCUAUCUCAUCCAGCAUCCACCACCACCCAACGCCGACAGCCACUACCAUGAGAUUGACACCCAUGUCGUCCUCGCCAUGUAUGCCACCCUUACAGAUCAGAUCAUCGACCAUGUGAUCGGUGCCACUACCACCCAUGCCCUCUGGACUCGGAUCCAGGACUACUUCCUUGCCAAUCGUGCGGCCUGCUACAUGAUCCUCAACUGGCAGUACCGAAACCUCAAGCAGGGUGACCUUUCCGUCGACGAGUACGCGUGCCAUAUGAAGCUCAUUACCGCCGGUCUCGCGGACAUUCAUCAUGCCGUGACCGAGGUCAACCUCACCUCGUAG
rnacentral:rRNA from 1 species